rnacentral:sRNA from 1 species
AUGGUUUAUACUGAACAUUUAAAGAGGACCAAGCAUGGAGGUUACAACAAGAUAGCUUCCCUACCCCUGCCUGACCUAACAGGUUCUUUCGUGGACCUUAAAAACACUGGGCUCCACCAUGACCCUAUCAGGUCACAUUGGAGAGGAGAUGGGGAGCCCCUGGAUGGGAAAUUACAGGAUGUAAAACGGUUGUUCUUCCACACAGCAGCGCUCAACCUCUCAUGUAUUCUGCUCACGUGCAGAAAAGGAUGUGUCAAUUGGGUUCACCACCGAGACCAAUUGAAGAUUGCAGGAAAAGAGGUGGCUACUGUGGUCAUGCUGUUCACAUACAUGAAAACCUUCGCCAGCAUGUCAAGAAAAUUCAUGACAAUGAAUAUUGGAAAAUUUCAAAGAAAUGGUGGAGCACAAAAGCUGCAGAAGCCCCAUUAUCAACCAACAAGAGUUCCUGCAGGUUCAAAGGAUAGGGAAAAGAUUGCCCUCCACCUCUGCAAGUGGCUCAGCUCUUCAGAACAGAGGCUAGGACUACAUGUCAGAGUCACAGAGUCAGGUCGCUCUCCUCGAAGUGAGCCAGCAUUGCUAGAAUGUCAUAGAGAGGCAGUGGACGAGUCCCCAGAUUAUUAUUGA